rnacentral:tRNA from 2 species
AGGCCUUGGGGUGUAACACGUGCGGUUGCAAGCCGCAAGAAGCAGAUGAUUCCUGCCGGGGCUUC